rnacentral:rRNA from 1 species
AGGACGAACGCUGGCGGCGUGCUUAACGCAUGCAAGUCGAGCGGAAAGGCCCUUCGGGGUACUCGAGCGGCGAACGGGUGAGUAACACGUGAGCAACCUGCCCUUAGCUUCGGGAUAGCUCCGGGAAACCGGAAUUAAUACCGAAUAUGACCAAGGCCGACAUCAGCCUUGGUGGAAAGUUUUUCGGCUAGGGAUGGACUCGCGGCCUAUCAGCUAGUUGGUGAGGUAACGGCUCACCAAGGCGACGACGGGUA